AUUAGCUGGUAGGAAUCUUUUGUACCUUUAGAGGAACAAAGGAGCAAACAAAGCUGCCUUAUCUUCACUGAAGUAAGAGUUGGAAAAGACCUGCCAGAUCAACAAAUUAAUCACCCGACAGUGACCUUCAGCUUCUCAUUUUUGUUGAUCACCAGAAGAACUUGAUUGCACUUGAUUGCAAAGCAUAACAUGGUCAAAGACUGGACCGGGUCUCCCAGACUUGUGGAUCCUCCACCUUUGAAAACAUUCAAGCCUCAGCUAGACAUAGCCAUCGGGCAACCUGAGC